AACGCGAAGAACCUUACCUGGCCUUGACAUAGUAAGAACUUUCCAGAGAUGGAUUGGUGCCUUCGGGAACUUACAUACAGGUGCUGCAUGGCUGUCGUCAGCUCGUGUUGUGAAAUGUUGGGUUAAGUCCCGCAACGAGCGCAACCCUUUUCCUUAUUUGCCAGCGAGUAAUGUCGGGAACUUUAAGGAUACUGCCAGUGACAAACUGGAGGAAGGCGGGGACGACGUCAAGUCAUCAUGGCCCUUACGGGCAGGGCUACACACGUGCUACAAUGGUCGGUACAAAGGGUUGCCAAGCCGCGAGGUGGAGCUAAUCUCACAAAACCGAUCGUAGUCCGGAUCGCAGUCUGCAACUCGACUGCGUGAAGUCGGAAUCGCUAGUAAUCGCGAAUCAGAAUGUUGCGGUGAAUACGUUCCCGGGCCUUGUACACACCG
rnacentral:rRNA from 1 species